GUCUGAUUUAUCACCAUGUCCACUGGGAGUUGUUUUAGGAAUUUUGACUUAAUCUUUUGUUCCAUAAGGACUCCUUCACCACUGACCAGAUAGGUUUUGCUACCUGUAAGUUUAUUCAUCUUAGCUGCAUGCUUUGAGACCAGGGAGGCAAGCACAGCAAAGUCUGUAAACCCAGGUUUUAUUAUUCCCAAGCUGCCCUAAGUAACCACACAAACAGGACAACCAUGAUGACAUUUUCUUCAACUGAAGGCUUGUAUCCAGAGGCUCUCAAAAAACUAGAUCUCAGGUUCUCACACUUCCUGUUGGUCUCGGCUAGAGUAAGUGGUCUACUGAAGUUAAGUAUGCAGGCUUAUAACUGCAGUAUCCUUUUGAUAAUUUUCUAGGUAUAAUCUGAUCAGUCCAAGAUAGCAUU
rnacentral:lncRNA from 1 species